CAGCCGUAAACAAUGUGCGUUAGGUGUGUCGGUAACCACGUGUUACUGAUGCGCCGAAGAGAAAUCGUGAAACGCACCACCUGGGAAGUGCGGUCGCAAGGCUGAAACUUAAAGGAAUUGGCGGGGGAGCACCACAACAGGUGGAGCCUGCGGUUUAAUUGGAUUCAACGCCGGACAUCUCACCGGAUAAGACAGCUGAAUGAUUGUCAAUCUGAAGGUUUUACAUGACUAGCUGAGAGGUGGUGCAUGGCGUAGACGUCU
rnacentral:rRNA from 1 species